GCAUCUUGUGCCUUUCCAUGGCAGACUGCUUAAGGACACUUGAAAGCUGGAGUGGCAUGCAGUACCUACUGGGCUGUCUGACAAGCAGUUGAGGUGUAGACAGCCCUGCUCACUCUUCCUGGCUCAUUAGGACCAUUGGUUAGUCCUGAGUGUCCUCCUGCCUUCCAGCUGGGGCUCUGUAGCUCAUGUGUAGGACAGCAUGCUGGCUCUCCUGUGCCACUGUGGCCCCCUGGACUGGUUUCAGGCUACGUGUCUGUGUGCGAUGAGCUGACCUAUCACCCAUCCUGAUCAGCUGGAGGGAUACAUCAAGAUCUACCAGAUCUGGAAAAGAAACAGCAUGGAUAAAAGCUGACUCACGUACUUCUCUAUGAAGUCCCCGCGUUUCACCAUGCCUGCUUCUACUCUGUGUGUGCUGGGCAGUGGUGGCAGGUAGGACUUUGAGUAGAUAGUUCAGGAAGUUGUGUAAAACUGAAUGCAAGAUCCUUCCAGAACCUGAAGUCUGGGGAAAGCUUGCAGGGAAAUAAUACUGUGCUAUUGUUCUGAG
rnacentral:lncRNA from 1 species